rnacentral:pre_miRNA from 1 species
CAACUACUCCCUCUGUCCCAAAUUUCUUGUCUUAGAUUUGUCUAGAUACGGAUGUAUCUAAUACUAAAAUGUGACUUGAUACAUCUGUAUCUAGACAAAUCUAAGACAAGAAUUUUGGGACGAAGGGAGUACUUU